GGCCCGUAACACUGUUAGGAUCAGGGGUAGUUUUAUCUUUUCAUUUUGAUGAAAGGUUUUUUUUUUUUUUUUUUUCCCUUGUCUGAGAAUGUGAAUGAAUAGUCGAAAUAAAUUAAUUUGUAUUUUAAAAAUCGAUUUUCAAAAAUUAUCUUAUUUCUUUUGAAAUUUAAUCAGUGGUGAAAAUGGAUAGUGCUAUAUUCGAAUUGGAUCAAUCCACCUGGAUGAGAAAAGAUUGUAUGUCACCAUAAGUAGAUAUAAUAGAAGGGUUGACCUCCAGCGGUUUUUUCUCUCCCAUAUUUUUAUGCAAGGAAGAAUGUUGUCAGUCUAGUGUUUUUUAUGGGCCUAUUUGAUAACGUUUCGUUUCAAAUAUUUCUAUGUUUUUAUGUUUCUAGAAAUGAAGAAACAGAAACAAGUGAAGAAAUGGAUUUUGGAGUUGUGCCCGAUCAAAAAAGCUAUACUCACGCCCUCUCUUCUCAAACCUCAAACGACUCCACAGGUCUGCAACUCGAGUUGCAGCAGUAGCUCCGGUGAACCGUCUGCAAAUCUCACGACCGCAGGUUUGCAAAGGUGCUCUGGGUUUCCUCCUUCGCUGCUCUGCAAUAUUAUACAAGGUAUGCCCUUGCUCUUCCAAAGAACCCCUUCUCUUCCCAAUAACUAUUGAACCCUAACACCUAUUGUUCCCACUCUAUCCACGACGCAUACCUCCGGCAAAGAAUCCGAGUAUAGGCCACGAGAUGCUGGUGGGCCACCGAUCCCUUUCAUAAAACCGGUUUUGAGAUGGAUUUAUGGUAAGGCAGCGUCCUUGGUGGGAUUGAAUCCCUCUGAAGUGUUUGCAUUGCAGAAAACCUGAAUUGGUCAGGUAAUGUUUGGUUCCAGGUCUGGCCAGCUUCUCUUAUUGUAGCUUGAGUUCUCGCAAGUCCUGCUUCAAGCCUCUCCAAUCUAUUGUAUUCCUUCAGCAUUUUGUGAUCAGGGGAGAAGCAUUGGACUUGUUCUUGGGUUUCCUCAUCCUGCAAAAAUUAAUUGAAAUUCAAAAUUAAUUAGCAGAAAAUUAAACUCAAAAAGGGAACUAAAUAAUAAGAAAAUGAUUCAGAGAUAAAGAGAGAGGUCUUACAAGCUGUGAAGCUGGUUCCUGGUUUUGGUAAUUUGUGUGUCAGGGGGAGGGUAAGGAGAAGACGAAGAAGAAGAAGAAGAAUUGAAGGUAGGAUAACGAGAAAGAGGUCCUUGAGUUUCUGUAGGAUGAGCAUCAACCGCUAUUCGAUGAAAAUCCAGGUGUCUCAUAGUUUCUUCUUUAGGCUCAAGAGAUGAAGCAUUGGUUGAGGUUUAAAUGUGAUUUGUUGCAGGACAAGAACAUAGAAGCAGGUUUUGAGGAGAGAAGAACAUUUGUUGGUAAAGAUCUGGUGCCACCACGCCAAGCGUCCUCUUGUUUGGUCACUUGCUUACUGUGUUUCUAUGCAGAAAUUUAUAUUGUUUUAAACAAUAAAUUUAUGGAAGAAACAUUGUUAGAAACAA